rnacentral:lncRNA from 1 species
CUCUGUUAUGACGUAAUGAAGUAUAGAACCCUAUGCCAUUAAAUCAGGGAUUCUCUUUGUCCUAAGAUAGUAAUGCUUGCAGAGGCACUGCAGCAGGCAAAGAAGAUAAACCCCUAUCUGAGACUCCAGUUUCUUCAGCUUUGGCCCUCUUGGGCCUUCGAACACAGACUGAAGACUGCGCUGUUGGCUUCACGACUUUGGAGGUUUUGGAACUCCAACUGGCUUCCUUGUUCUUCAGCUUGCAGACGGCCUACUGUGGGACGUCACCUUGAGAUCGUUCUGUCUUCAAAAGAAAAGAUACGCCAUCUAAUCUCGAUGGCAAAGCCAAGAAGUGAUUUUCCCCCCUCCCUGCCACGGGAACUGUGACCUAAUUCUCAUUCCUAAUCACAGAAUCAAAGGAGAAAUUUAUUUCAAUGAGCUAGUCUGAAAGAGCUAUUUGCCAAAUGGCUUUCUUUCCAAUACUUAAUGAAAAGAUGCAUUUUGUACUACUUUCAAAAAGUGAUAUGGACAGGAGACGGAAAUACUGGGUAGAAAAGGGCAGUUCCCUGGCAAAGCCUCACCCUCAAGCCUGGAUACCUGCUGUCUUAAACGAAAACGAAAACAGGCAUUUCUGUGUUCAUGCUCCAAAAGUUAUCUUUUGGCCUGCCACACCCCCUAUCCUGCACCCAUAUGAAUCCCGAACCCCAGACUCCAGAAGCAGACCAGCAAGCCCGCAGACCAGCAGAAGGAUGGCAGAACGAUGUGGCAGAGAAAGGGAGAAGAGGAGGAACAUCUGAAUGCCAAAAUGAGUUCAGCUGGGGGCAGUCAGAGAGGAGUCCAGCCACUGGGCAGCCAGAAUCCAGGGGAGGAUCACCUUUCCACUUCAUCCCCUUCCUCUGCCUCCCCAUCCAUCCUGCUGAAAGCCACCUCCACCACUCAAUAAAACCUGCCAUUCAUCCUUGGA